AUGGUCACUUAAGCAGUAUAUAUACUAAACUGGAAUGAAACAGAAAAGAUUAGAAUGGCCCCUGCACAAGGGUAAUAUGCAAAUUUGUGAAGCAUUAUAUAUUUUG
rnacentral:snRNA from 1 species